rnacentral:tRNA from 1 species
CGGGAUGUAGCGCAGCCUGGUAGCGCACCUGCUUCGGGAGCAGGGGGUCGCUGGUUCGAUUCCAGUCAUCCCGACCA